rnacentral:rRNA from 1 species
UACGUAGGGGGCAAGCGUUGUCCGGAUUUAUUGGGCGUAAAGAGCUCGUAGGCGGUUCAGCAAGUCGGGUGUGAAAAAUCUGGGCUCAACCCAGUGGAGCACCCGAUACUGCUGUGACUAGAGUCCGGUAGGGGAGUGUGGAAUUUCUGGUGUAGCGGUGAAAUGCGUAGAUAUCAGGAGGAACACCGGUGGUGUAGACGGCUUUCUGGACCGUAACUGACGCUGAGACGCGAAAGCGUGGGGAGCGAACAGG